rnacentral:rRNA from 1 species
UACGUAGGCAGCAAGCGUUGUUCGGAGUUACUGGGCGUAAAGGGUGUGUAGGCGGUCCUCUAAGUUUGGUGUGAAAUCCCUCGGCUCAACCGGGGAACUGCGUCCGAUACUGGCGAGGCUUGAAUCCGGGAGAGGGAUGUGGAAUUCCAGGUGUAGCGGUGAAAUGCGUUGAUAUCCUAAGGAACACCGGUGGCGAAAGCGGCUCACUGGAUCUCUUCUGACGCUGAGGCACGAAAGCUAGGGUAGCAAACGGG